GAUGUAAUAGGUUAGGGCUCCGGCGACGACUCACGAAGCCAAAUUGGCUCCGCCUCUUACACCUCCCACUAAAUUCCCAACAAAUUACCAGACAUUCCCAAUUGUCCUUCAGUAGCUGCUUGCCAUUAGUUUCAAUUUUGUACCUUAUUAUCACCGUCGUCUAAUAAACGUGUUUGUUAACAAAUCACGAGUUGAUUCACUCCUCACUUGCCGUUUAGAACAUGGAAAGAAAGGAACGAACCCAAAAAAGUGUAAACCCUAGAAUUGCCAUGACGAGGCCAUGGUGGAAUUCCCUCGAAGAAGAUGAUGAAUGCCUUGAUGAAGAAGAUGGGUUUUGUAGCUACCGAAAUAAAGUUUUGUGACUUCAGUUUUAAUUCGAUUUGAAAGAGGGAACUAGGCUUUUGGAUUCGAUGAAUUCUAAAGGAUGGGAACAUGUUUGAUAACCAAAAAAAA
rnacentral:lncRNA from 1 species